UACGGGAGGCAGCAGUGGGGAAUAUUGGACAAUGGGCGCAAGCCUGAUCCAGCCAUGCCGCGUGUGUGAAGAAGGCCUUUUUGGUUGUAAAGCACUUUAAGCGAGGAGGAGGCUACUGGUAUUAAUACUACCGGAUAGUGGACGUUACUCGCAGAAUAAGCACCGGCUAACUCUGUGCCAGCAGCCGCGGUAAUACAGAGGGUGCGAGCGUUAAUCGGAUUUUACUGGGCGUAAAGCGUGCGUAGGCGGCUUUUUUAAGUCGGAUGUGAAAAUCCCUGAGCUUAACUUAGGAAUUGCAUUCGAUACUGGGAAGCUAGAGUAUGGGAGAGGAUGGUAGAAUUCCAGGUGUAGCGGUGAAAUGCGUAGAGAUCUGGAGGAAUACCGAUGGGCGAAGGCAGCCAUCUGGGCCUAAAUACUGACGCUGAGGGUACAAAGCAUGGGGAGGCAAACAGGAUUAGAU
rnacentral:rRNA from 1 species